UGGGGUGAGCUAUACAAUGGGUUGAUCUGUAGAAUGGAGUGAGCUGGACAAUGGGGCUACUCACCCCACCCACCUUGCAAAGUGAUGCAGGACAGGAAAUGGGUUAAUAGAAGCUCGGAUUUAGAAGAGUGCCUGGCACGCCUAAGGGCUCAAGCCGUCUGUGUAAUUAUCUUAAACUUUUUCAUUUCGGAAAUGAAACAGCUCCUCCCUUCACCGCCACCUUGGCUAUUUCUGGGACCAAAGGAAUCCUUGAAGCUGACCGGGCAGGAGAGUCCACGCUGGGAGUAAAAUCACUACAAACUGUCCAUCAGAAGGCCCCUGCUGAGUAGUUGGCAGGGUGGCUGCACAUAAUGGAAAGCACAUAAGCUUGAAGCCAGACAGAUGGGAGUUCUAACCCCAGCCCUGCCACUUAUUCCCAGGUGACACUGAGUGGAAAUUAGGCCAAAAUAAAUACUACUUUCUGCUUAAAAAAAUGCAGUGAUGUCCAAAGAGAAGGGAGGAGGAAGGAUGAAAGGAAAGACAGAGGAGGAAGGAAGAGAAGAAAGAAGAGUGGCCGGCACAAGGGCUUGGAGAUCCCUGAAGCUGUUUUCCUUUCUCCUCACCCCCACAGGGAGGGAUCCACAUCGUUGUGGGGUUUUUGUUGUUGUUGUUUUUGUUUUUGUUUUUUUGCCUCCCUUCAUCAAAGCAUUCAUUGUAGUGUAUGGUAAUUGUCUCUGAAUGUAACAGCCUCUCUUCCCUGAGGCCUGGGUCUGCUUGUUUCAUACCAUCUUCUCCUUAACACACAGUGCUUGGUAAACAAUACCUAUUAAUAAACAUUUGUUGAAUGAAUGAAUGAGUGAAUGAACGAAUACUGCACUCUUUCGACUUGGUUAGAGACAUGUCUUGUAGGCUGGCAUGUACUUCACACAGCACUCUUAGGUAGAGUUUGUAUAUGUUAUUCCAUUGAAGGGAAAAGGAAGCCAGACUGUGGGGAGAAAAAAAAAAAAAAAA
rnacentral:lncRNA from 1 species